UAAGGAAUAUUGGUCAAUGGAGGCAACUCUGAACCAGCCAUGCCGCGUGCAGGAAGACGGCCCUACGGGUUGUAAACUGCUUUUAUACGGGAAUAAACCCCACUACGUGUAGUGGGCUGCAUGUACCGUACGAAUAAGGAUCGGCUAACUCCGUGCCAGCAGCCGCGGUAAUACGGAGGAUCCGAGCGUUAUCCGGAAUUAUUGGGUUUAAAGGGUGCGUAGGCGGCACGCUAAGUCAGGGGUGAAAUACGGUGGCUCAACCAUCGCAGUGCCUUUGAUACUGGUGUGCUUGAAUGUACAUGAGGUAGGCGGAAUGAGACAAGUAGCGGUGAAAUGCAUAGAUAUGUCUCAGAACACCGAUUGCGAAGGCAGCUUACUAAAGUACGAUUGACGCUGAGGCACGAAAGCGUGGGGAUCGAACAGG
rnacentral:rRNA from 1 species